UACAGAGGUCUCAAGCGUUGUUCGGAUUCAUUGGGCGUAAAGGGUGCGUAGGCGGCGCGGUAAGUCGGGUGUGAAAUCUUGGAGCUUAACUGCGAAACUGCAUUCGAUACUGGCGUGCUUGAGGACUGGAGAGGAGACUGGAAUUCAUGGUGUAGCAGUGAAAUGCGUAGAGAUCAUGAGGAAGACCAGUGGCGAAGGCGGGUCUCUGGACAGUUCCUGACACUGAGACACGAAGGCCAGGGGAGCAAACGGG
rnacentral:rRNA from 1 species